rnacentral:piRNA from 1 species
UGCCACAGUACGGAAUGUUGAAAGGC